AGUCUUAUAGUUUAAAAAAUAUUAAAUUGCAAAUUUAAAGAUGAUAAAAAUAUCUAAGACUU
rnacentral:tRNA from 1 species